AUGGUGAUGGUCGGUGAUGUAAGCCGUGUGGCACAAACAAAAAAUCAUAGAUCGAUGGUCAGCGGCAACGACUGCCAUAGAAAAAUCAAGAAAGUAGAUGAAAAUCAAAGCAAAAAUAGAAAAAUCAAUCUGAUCUCCUUUUUAACAAAAUCAAGUGAUUCGCUGGUUGCUACUUUUUAACAAAGUAGAUGAAAAUCACUUGAUUUUGUUGGAAAAGUCAGAUAAUAGAUG
rnacentral:lncRNA from 1 species